UAACAAGGAUUCCCCUAGUAACUGCGAGUGAAGCGGGAAGAGCUCAAAUUUAAAAUCUGGCGGCCUCCUGGUCGUCCGAGUUGUAGUCUGGAGAAGUGUUAUCCGCGUCGGACCGUGUACAAGUCUCCUGGAACGGAGCGUCAUAGAGGGUGAGAAUCCCGUCCAUGACACGGACGCCCGAUGCUAUGUGAGGCACUCUCGAAGAGUCGAGUUGUUUGGGAAUGCAGCUCAAAAUGGGUGGUAAAUUCCAUCUAAAGCUAAAUAUUGGCGAGAGACCGAUAGCGAACAAGUACCGUGAGGGAAAGAUGAAAAGCACUUUGGAAAGAGAGUUAAACAGUACGUGAAAUUGUUGAAAGGGAAACGCUUGAAGUCAGUCGCGUCCCGUGGAACUCAGCCUGGUUUCGACCUGGUGUACUUUCCAUGUGGACGGGUCAACAUCAAUUUCGACCGGUGGACAAGGGCGAGGGGAAUGUAGCGUGGCUUCGGCGACGUGUUAUAGCCCCCCGUCGUAUACACUGGCUGGGAUUGAAGACCGCAGCACGCCCUUGUGGUCGGGGGUUCCCCCCACGUAAACGUGCUUAGGAUGUUGGCAUAAUGGCUUUAAGCGACCCGUCUUGAAACACGGACCAAGGAGUCUAACAUGCUUGCGAGUGUUCGGGUGGAAAACCCUUGCGCGUAAUGAAAGUGAAAGUUGGGAACCUCCGCGAGGGGGUGCACCGACGCCCGGCCCUGACGUUCUCUGACGGUGCCGCGGUAGAGCACGUAUGUUGGGACCCGAAAGAUGGUGAACUAUGCCUGAAUAGGGCGAAGCCAGAGGAAACUCUGGUGGAGGCUCGUAGCGAUUCUGACGUGCAAAUCGAUCGUCAAAUUUGGG
rnacentral:rRNA from 1 species